rnacentral:rRNA from 1 species
AUUGAACGCUGGCGGCAGGCCUAACACAUGCAAGUCAAGCGGAUGAAGGGAGCUUGCUCCUGGAUUCAGCGGCGGACGGGUGAGUAAUGCCUAGGAAUCUGCCUGGUAGUGGGGGAUAACGUCCGGAAACGGGCGCUAAUACCGCAUACGUCCUGAGGGAGAAAGUGGGGGAUCUUCGGACAUCACGCUAUCAGAUGAGCCUAGGUCGGAUUAGCUAGUUGGUGGGGUAAAGGCCUACCAAGGCGACGAUCCGUAACUGGUCUGAGAGGAUGAUCAGUCACACUGGAACUGAGACACGGUCCAGACUCCUACGGGAGGCAGCAGUGGGGAAUAUUGGACAAUGGGCGAAAGCCUGAUCCAGCCAUGCCGCGUGUGUGAAGAAGGUCUUCGGAUUGUAAAGCACUUUAAGUUGGGAGGAAGGGCAGUAAGUUAAUACCUUGCUGUUUUGACGUUACCAACAGAAUAAGCACCGGCUAACUUCGUG